GAUGAACGCUAGCGGGAGGCUUAACACAUGCAAGUCGAGGGGCAGCAUAGGGUAGCAAUACUCUGAUGGCGACCGGCAAACGGGUGAGUAACGCGUAUGCAACCUACCCUGUACAGGGGGAUAACCCGGAGAAAUUCGGACUAAUAUCCCGUAAUAAUAUCCGGAGGCAUCUUUGGAUAUUAAAGUUCCGACGGUACGGGAUGGGCAUGCGUAACAUUAACUGGUUGGUAAGGUAACGGCUUACCAAGGCUAUGAUGUUUAGGGGUCCUGAGAGGGUGGUCCCCCACACUGGUACUGAGACACGGACCAGACUCCUACGGGAGGCAGCAGUGAGGAAUAUUGGUCAAUGGGCGCAAGCCUGAACCAGCCAUCCCGCGUGCAGGAAGACGGCCCUAUGGGUUGUAAACUGCUUUUCCAGGGAGAGAAACUUACGCACGUGUUGCGUGACUGACGGUACCCUGGGAAUAAGCAUCGGCUAACUCCGUG
rnacentral:rRNA from 1 species